rnacentral:rRNA from 1 species
CCCUUAGAUGCUCUGGGCCGCACGCGCGCUACACUGGUCGAUGCAACGAGUUUCUUUCCUUGGCCGACAGGCCUGGGCAAUCUUUGAACAUCGAUCGUGAUCGGGAUAGAUUCUUGUAAUUUUUGAUCUUAAACGAGGAAUUCCUAGUAAACGCAAGUCAUCAGCUUGCAUUGAUUACGUCCCUGCCCUUUGUACACACCGCCCGUCGCACCUACCGAUUGAAUGGUCCGGUGAAAUCUCCGGACUGGCGUGAGUCGGAGCAAUCUGACAAACGCCGGAAAGUUGAUUAAACCUUNCNAUUUAUNGGAAGGUGAANUCGUANCA